rnacentral:sRNA from 1 species
CAGUAGUAGCCAAUUGUGAAGAUGCCAUUCUGGCUUGCUAAACAAACACAUGGAGCUCUGACUAAAAAAGAAAAUGACACGUAAAACAAAACAUCACUGGGAACCAGUUGCACUUGAAGCUCAAAGCAAUUAUGAAAGACAAAGUUAUAGCCCCUUGCAAAGAUAUCAGACGAUUGACUCUUUUUGCCAUGGCUACACUCUUGUUUGCUUACGAUUCUUGGAGUAGAAGGAUCCUAGUCAUCAAAUUGAUAUGUUAUAGAAGGAUAUUUUCUAGGUACCGUAUUGCAAAGACUGUCUAUAUCAUAUACUUUGAAGUCCAAAACAGUAUCAAAACGGAGAUUGGGCCCUAUGAUGACCUUUUGACAGACAAAAGAUGCAUUGGAUGGACAACAUAAAAGAAUGGACAGGCUUGUCGUGAAGGUACUCUAAUCCUAGCAAAAGACCAGGAGGGAUGGAGAGCUGGUUAUUGGAUAUGUAUGACUAAUGGUCCCACAAAGAAACAGGUGACAGUGAAGGCUAUAAAGAAAUUUUUAUAGAAAUGAUUACCCAAGCAGAUGGAGUGAAACUAAUCAGCACUGUAUGAAGUGGGUGCUUGAAGGUGAAUACCCAAGCAUUCAAGAUAAAAAUGAAGGAUUGUGUUCUCCUAAUAUGAAGAUCAUUGUUUCAACCAUUGAAGUAGAAAUAAAAUAUUUUCAAUAAUUGAUAAACCUGGAGUAUCAGCACCUGAGAUGAACUCCAAUUGAGAACAGAGCAGGAAGGGCUAAUCCUCCCAUAGUGCUCUGGCAAGAACCAAGCACCAAGAAUUUCAGAAGUUGUUUUUUUUCAAAGUUUUUUUCCUGGCUGUUUUUCCCAAUUUAUUAAUUUUAAAUGAAGAGCUUAAAAGCAAAUUAUAUUUUUAGGUCCAUGGAUCAAGUUCAACUGUUUUCCUAUGGUUGUGAUGGCAUGAGACUAACAGUCAUCUGUAAUAAAAAUACAAGUAAUUUGAUGCUUCAGAUGUAAUGAUUAAUAAUUUGUGUUGUUGUUGCACCCCUCCCCACCAAAAAAAAAAA